rnacentral:sRNA from 1 species
CAAUGUGGUGUUUAGGUCGUUCCGCGGAGGCACUGCUCCAUCCUAAGUCCAGCAUUGAAUAUGGUAUGGACAUGGCCCAUUGAGGGUGAAAGGCCCGUGUGGGUGGAGGUUCAUGAUGCCAGUGUCUCCCUGGGUAGACCUUGGAGUCGGGUUGUUUGUGAAUGCAGCCCAAAGUGGGUGGUAAACUCCAUCCAAGGCUAAAUACAAGCACGAGUCCGAUAGCGAACAAGUACCGUGAGGGAAAGUUGAAAAGUACUUUGAAGAGAGAGUAAACAGUACGUGAAACCGCUCAGAGGUAAACGGGUGGAGUUGAACUGCAAUCCUUGUGGAUUCAGCUGGUGAGUGUGGUUUGAGCUUGGUUAAAUUGGUUGAUCUCAGGGGUCUGCGUAUUGGCAGGUCUUCACCUUCGGGUGGGGAUGCGCGAUGCACCUACCAUGUGCUGUGCGCCUCGGGGUUAUCGGACCUACUCGCCAGUGCACUUCUGCAGGGUGUUCACCACGACCGGUGUCGCCGUCUGACUGUUGUGGUUAAACCGGUCUUGCAUUUUCCUUGUGAUUUUGCUUGGUCGGGAUGGCAGGUAGCUCUUCGGUGGCUGUGGCUUGCUGCAGUUGCCUUUGGGUGUAAUCAGCUGACUGCAAUGGUUCUGUGCGGUACGUCGGAGACAGCGGCUAGUUGUGUGUGCUUUCGUGCCAUUGCGUGGGCAUGCUCGGGUCUGAUUGUCAUGUUGCUCGCUUAAUGUGGGCCUGGCAGUGGCUCGGGUUUGUUCUGUGGUGGUUGCGUUUGUGUCACUUUACAGGGCCAAUAGUCUGUGGUGUAGUGGUAGACGAUCCACCUGACCCGUCUUGAAACACGGACCAAGGAGAGUAACAUGUGCGCGAGUCAUUGGGCGUAACGAAACCCACAGGCGAAGUGAAAGUAAAGGCUUGGCUUGUCCAGGCUGAGGUGAGAUCCUGCUGUUUCCCAUGCGCGGUACUACCAAGCAUCGAGCAGUGGGCGCAUCACCGGCCCGUCCCAUGACGUAGUCAUUAAGUCUUCGGACCAGUGCAUCGUCGGGGCGGAGCAUGAGCGUACAUGUUGAGACCCGAAAGAUGGUGAACUAUGCUUGUGCAGGUUGAAGCCAGAGGAAACUCUGGUGGAGGACCG